rnacentral:lncRNA from 13 species
AACUGUCUCUACAUCAGCAAUAAGGCUACCUUGCUUUAUUUCUAGCUUUUGAUUUAAAAUAAGAAACGUGCAACUUGUCCUUUCGCUUGAACAGAGGCAAUUGUUGGGUUAUUAAUUGGCUGGAUUUCAAUAUCUUUGUGUUUAAGGGAAAGGGAGCCUGGAGGAAAGGGAGGAAGAGAUGGGGAAAUGGCCAAGCGGUGGAACAAUCAGAACAUAACUUUUAUUAAGUUCACCAUCUUAUAUGGUCAUGGUUCAUGGUCCCCCAAAGCAAUCACAAUAGUAAUAUCAGAGAUCACUGAAUACACCAUAACAGCUAUACUAAUAAUGAAACAGUUGGAAAUACUGCGAGAAUUAACAAUGUGACAAAGUGUGCAUGUGCUGUUGGAACACUGGCACCCACAGACUUGGUUGAUGAAGAGUUGCCCUAAGCUUUCACUCUGCCAAAACCACAAUAUUUGCAAAGUGCAGUAAAGUCAAGCACAAUAAAACAAGGUAUGCCUGUAAACUCCAUUCCCCGAAUCUUUUCGUCUCUGAUAAAACGAGCAGGUUAGGAUCAGAUUAAAUAGUUUCACCUGAGGGCAGACCUUGUUAAGAGAGCAGAAUGCUCUGGUACAUUUCAAAAUGGCUUGCUUCGUCCCGCUGCUGCUGGAGAGGGAGGGAAUGUUUCUCCAGUACUGUUAGUGAGGACCUGGUAGAGAUCCAGACAUACAAGUCCAGAAAAUGUGGGGCCUUCCCAAUGACUGGGUCUCCCUGGAAUUUUCACGCCUCAGACUCCUCCACUCAGAGCCUCGGUGAAUCCAUCAGUUACACCUCAGCUAUCCGUCCGCAGCACUGCUUCCCGGGCCGUUUCAGCUCUGUUCUGCCUACCUUUUCUGAGUGAAGCCAGAUUCCACAUGGUUUCUACCACCAACUCUUCUUAUCCAAGUUCCUACACCCAUUUUUGCGGGUAAGAAAUACAGUUCCUGUACUUUAAUGUCACUGCUUAAUUUUAAGAUGUGUGCUUUUGCUAGUGCUUUCCUUGAGGAGCUGAUGUUGCGCUCCCUUACCAGUUUCAUGGUUACUGUCACUUUCUCCUGCACAGCUGUUGCCUGACCUCAGCUGCUUUAGGUGACUGGCACAUAUAUUUUUGCCAGCUGUUGAUUGAAUGUGUUUUCAAAGAUUGCUGAAAGUAGAUUUUACCUUCUGUGUUUUCAUCUGACAUUAGGUUUUUGGUGACUUCCAGGAGAAGAGGAAAAACACUGAACAGACUUUUGCAGACAUAUUAUGAACCUUUUUGUUUUCCUCUGUCCCUAAUCAUCUGAAAAGAAGAAAAAAUGUGUCUGUGGUUGCUUUCUGCUAAUUUUACCAAAGUUACAUUUCAUCGAAAUCAAUAGUUGUCCAAAAUCAAAAGGAAAAAAUACAAAGAUGAUUUAACAUUACAUUGUUUGCAACGUGCUUUUAUGUUCAUUUUAGUGAAUGAUCUUCAGUCAUCUCUAGGAAGUCACAAGAUAUGUAUUAUUAUUCCCAUUUCACAGAUAAGGAAACUGUAAUACCACUAAUUGUACUAUGCACUAUGGUGACAAAAUCAUAGAGAGGCCUUACUGGCUAGAUCAUGAUGUUCCACAGCUCUGUAAGACCAUUUUCCACCUGAAGUGACACAAGAUACUCUUAGAUGAACAACCAAGGAGACUUUUUCAUCAAAUGCUUCAACUUCCUUAGGGAAACUUGAUUUCAGAUAUGCUCAGUAGACAUAAAGUUUUCCAAGGAAUUGCGUUGACAUUCUGGGGGGAAGCACAGGGUCUCCUCCCUAUCGAUCCAUGUUAUACAUUAUUAGGUUUCUGUGUAAGAGUUUAUCUGCCACAGCAGUUCUUUAGCUAAAGAAAAUAAAUAAAUACGAAACAACUGCUUACCUACA